ACAGCGUCGCUCCCCACCAACCUAGUUGUUGGAGAGCGGAGAUUGGCCCCCCGAGUCCUUUGGACACGGUCGGCACAAAUAUUGGUCCCCGGCAGCGAGUGUCGCGGUCAGCGGUGGUUUAUAUCCUCCAAAGACAAAAUGACGCGUGCCUCGUUGCAUGUUGGAUCGAAACGACCCUCGAAAGCCAUUUAUGGCAUUCACC
rnacentral:misc_RNA from 1 species